CUGAUGAUUUGACGUUAAUAUUUUUUUGGGUUAAUUGGAUCUAUGCCAUUCUCUAUUUCACCGGUUGGAGAUAUGCCAUUCUCUAUUUCACCGGCUGGAGAUAUGAAAGUCAAAAACUUGACUUUGAGAAAUGCCACUCUAACUUUUUUAUAUCUCUAUUCAUGCCAUUUUGUCCAAUACCAACACGUAUACUGUCUAAAUACGUAUAGACAUAAUUCUAUACAACAAUUUUUUUCCCAUCCCAAGUCAAAUAGUUUUAUUCCUCUUAUUCCCCACGCGUUCCUCAUACUCCGUCCCCAACGGUAGACUCAUAUUACCGUUUUUUAUUUUCUGUAAUUUUUAUAGAUUUUUCUGAGAAGAUUGAAUUAUGGGCCAAAUUUGAAUUUUUUUUGAACCUUUAUGACGCCUGGAAGACUCGCACGUACUGCUGAACGUUGUAAAUAGGGGUAUUAUGGUAAAUACUGUUGUACAUGCUGAAAUACAUGUAUUUUAUGAAUACUUAUUGGUCUUAAGUGGACAGAAUGGCAUUUAUAGAAGUAUAAGAAAAUUAGAGUGACAUUUCUCCAAGUCAAAUUUUUGUAAUGGCAUAUCUCCAACCAGUGGAAUAGAGAGUGGCAUAAAUCCAAUUAACCUUAUUUUUUUAGGGGGUCAUAAAGUGUCAGGGCAG
rnacentral:lncRNA from 1 species